AAUAACAAUAUAUUCAAAUAAAUAACGGACCCUUCAAGCAUAAAGCAGCGCUAUCAAGAUAAAUAAUUAUCAACGAGCAAGUAAACGUUUAUUCUUUAACGAUUAUUUCCUUAUUCCGACAAAAUUUGGGUAAACCAAAAAAAGAGAGAUCGCAACAAUAGGUGCCCAAGACUCAAAGUACAAGACAUUGAUUUUCUUUGUUGUUGAAUUGAGAAAGAUAAGGGAAGAAAAGUUCACUUAGUUUUUAUCAGAAACCACGUGAAAAAAGACAUAACCCAAGAAAAUAGUGACGUCAGCAAAAACUAAGUCAUGGAAUUUCAGAUUGGAGAGAUCGUUUUUAAGUAUAAUCGGGGCGAGUAUUGGCCUAUGCAGAUUUGCGGUUACGAAGGCAAAAAAGUUCAUCUUAUGUAUAUAUCUAGAGAUGCAAAACUAAGAAUGGCAGUCGAUUCAAGGGAUGUUAUAAAAGUAACUCCGAGAACUCUUCAAACAGCAAUGAACAUGGACGUCCCAAAAACUUCUGUCUCAUUUUGGCAAAGUUUAGCUAAAGCUUUUAAUCAAUUAUACG